AACGAACGCUGGCGGCAUGCCUAACACAUGCAAGUCGAACGAGACCUUCGGGUCUAGUGGCGCACGGGUGCGUAACGCGUGGGAACCUGCCCUUAGGCUCGGAAUAACUCCCCGAAAGGGGUGCUAAUACCGGAUAAUGUCUUCGGACCAACGAUUUAUCGCCUUUGGAUGGGCCCGCGUUGGAUUAGCUAGUUGGUAGGGUAAAAGCCUACCAAGGCGACGAUCCAUAGCUGGUCUGAGAGGAUGAUCAGCCACACUGGGACUGAGACACGGCCCAGACUCCUACGGGAGGCAGCAGUGGGGAAUAUUGGACAAUGGGCGAAAGCCUGAUCCAGCAAUGCCGCGUGAGUGAUGAAGGCCUUAGGGUUGUAAAGCUCUUUUACCCGGGAUGAUAAUGACAGUACCGGGAGAAUAAGCUCCGGCUAACUCCGUG
rnacentral:rRNA from 1 species